CAUGCCCAAAGCCCAGACGAUGCUCCUCGGCCUUGUGUGUUUGAAUCCUAUUGCAUUUCGAUGCACUUCUGUAUUUGAAUUAAAUGUGCCUUCAAUUCUUUGAUUUUGGCGGCUCAAACCCUAGUGUCCUGCAUACACAUGUGUUCACCAAAACUGUGGAAUUUGGUUAGCAUAAAAAGCCCUAUUUCUAAUGUUUGGUGAUAUUUUAUAGAGUUUGUAUGCAUGUUGGCGGUAUGAAAAGUGUAUUUUAAGAAACGCCAACACAACCUCACCUAUG
rnacentral:lncRNA from 1 species